rnacentral:rRNA from 1 species
ACGAACGCUGGCGGCAUGCCUAACACAUGCAAGUCGAACGGAUGGUGGCAACACCAUUAGUGGCGGACGGGUGAGAAACGCGUGGGAACCUGCCUAGCUAUGGGGGAUAUCCAGGGGAAACCUUGGCUAAUACCGCAUACGCCCCGAGGGGGAAAGGCUUCGGCCGUAGUUGGAGGGGCCCGCGUCCGAUUAGGUAGUUGGUGAGGUAAUGGCUCACCAAGCCAACGAUCGGUAGCUGGUCUGAGAGGAUGAUCAGCCACACUGGGACUGGGACACGGCCCAGACUCCUACGGGAGGCAGCAGUGGGGAAUAUUGGACAAUGGGGGAAACCCUGAUCCAGCAAUGCCGCGUGAGUGAAGAAGGCCUUAGGGUUGUAAAGCUCUUUCGGCGGGGACGAUGAUGACGGUACCCGCAGAAGAAGCCCCGGCUAACUCCGU